CCUGCCUCGUGGUGGGGCCGCCAGCCUCUGGUAUUAGUGGCUGUGGUGGCGGCGUCCCUCAGGUGCUCUACUCCUCGGCUUGCAGGACAUGAUUACCCUGAGAGAAGAAGACCAAUAGCUGGGAAUCUGUGAAGUGAACAAGAAGUGACGGCGUAGCACAUGGGUGACUGUGUGACUAAGGGGCCACACACGAGCGCUGACUCCCUCCCCAGCACACCGCCGCUCCCGCCCCUUUGCCUGCGCCGCUCUGAUAAUUGACUCGCGCAUCUGAUUCCAUGCUCUAUUCCAAAAUCAGCACGUUGCCUCUCACACUGCAAUUACCACAGCCAGAGCUUCUAAUGUGUAGCUCUCUCAGCGGCUUCCGGCAUCACGUUACCUUACUCCCUCGAACGCUGGUGCCUAUACAAGUCUAGUCAUUGACAUUACACAGCACCUUAGGACACAAUUGCAGGAUGGAAAUUAAGAGAGUAUAUAUAUAUAUCUUUUUUUUUCAACUGGCCUUAAGAUUGUGUCAGAACAUCAAGUGGAUACGAAAGAUUACUCAAAAAGGUGACAGAUUCUAAGGAGAUCAGGGGACAUAAGAAUGGAAGAAAGCGCAAAACACAAGACAGUAAUUACGAAAGGUUACCAACUCUAACAACUAAAAGAUUCGAAGAUCAGAGUACUCACGAAUGAAAGAAGGAACUAAACUGAAGUGAAUACGAAAAGCAACUCUAACAACUCAAAUAUUCUAAGAUCAUACGACACACGAAUGAAAGAAAACAAGGCAGUGAGUAGAGGAAACUAGUCGCGUCCACCAUUUUCCUUCCCUAGGCACCGGAAGUCACGAUAACAGCUCCCUUGCAUUUAAACAUCGCCACAUUUUCAGGAAUAGAUAAAACCUCACUUCCUCGCCUGUGCCUCCUGCGUGAGUGGUGGUGCGCGGGGCGUCGGGUGGGUGAUCUCAAGGACCCGACACGCUGCACAUAAAGUCACGGUACAUGGAUGCGUGUCUUAGCAUGGCUCGCGUGUCACUCCCAAACCGUGACAUGUGUGUGGCGGCCUUCAGAGGAGAAAAUCUGCUGGAGGAAAUGCGACUGACUACAAGACCGAGGUUCGACCCUGGGCGCCUGAGAAAACCGUGCAUACAUCGCAACCACUUUACCACUGACAUCACCACCACCACCACCACCACCAACACCGUCACGGGGAGCGCUACCAUUAAUUUCAGCACGCCAUUAAGCAGGGUGGAAAGGGGAGGGAAGACCAUGGAAGGGGAGGGUAGUGCAGGAGGGGGGAGGGCAGGGAGUCUUCCUCAGCAUCUGGGUGCCGGCAGUAAUAAAGUGGCCAAUCAGAGCAAGGAUUAGCUCUCCCUCCUUCCUUCCCUCUCCCUCUCCCUCCCUCUCGCCCUCCCUCCCUCACGUAUCUCUCCCUUUCUCUCUCCCCUCUCUUGUUCUCUUCCUCCAGCCAUCCCUCCCUACUUCAAGGAUUAGCUUCUCUCUCUCUCCCUUCCCCCUCUCCCUUCCCCUUCCUUUUCCCCACCUCUCUCUCUCUCCCCCUCCUUCUCUCCUCCUCCUUUCCGUCCAUCGUUGUGAAAGAAAUACUUGGUUGUUAAGGUUUUUGGUUCUUGGUUGUAAAAGGGAGAAUGACCGCUCAGGAGAGAGAGAGAGAGAGAGAGAGAGAGAGAGAGAGAGAGAGAGAGAGAGAGGGGGGGGGGGAAUAGUACUACAAAGACCAAUCUGAAACAAAAACACACACAUACACACACCUUUUUCUUUUCUUCCUUCUUUCCUUCCUUCGUUCAUUCACUUCAUUCUUCUUCCUCCUUACCUUCCUUCAUUCAUUCCUUCAUUCAUUUAUUUUCUUCCAUCUUCCUUCAUUCCUUCCUUCAUUCCCUCCCUCCUUAGGACAUAAAAAGAGAAGAUAUAAUAGACGUUUAACUUUCAAUCGAAUUAAGCCACUCUCCCUCCCUCUCUCCCUCUCUCUUUUUACCUUAUUUUUUCUUUACAUUUACGUCUAAAAUCGGGUUAUAGUCUUGGCCCUUUCUUUCCGCGAAUAUCCAAGUAUCUUUUUUUCUUUCCUCAGGUGGGGGAGAGAGAGAACCAAUUGGGAGAUGGCUUGUAAAAAAUGGGAUUACCGGCUAAUUGGUGCGGGGAGGCGAUGUUGUGUGGGGGAUUACCUGGCCGUGAUGACAGGUGCGAGCAAGGAGGGAUGACCAGGUGUGCUCGAUUAAUUAGUGAAGUCAGGCCAGGUGGCGGGGCUUGUGCUUCAUAACAGCAACUUGAACGUAAGAAAAGGAAGUUGCGUGUUGUUUUGUAGGUGUGUUUCAGGUGUUGAGGAUGUACAGGUGUUGUUCUUGGUGUUCUGUUAUGGGUGUUGUUGUUCUUUCAGUUUUGGUGUUGUGGUGCGAGUGGUGUUUUCUCAAGUUUGGGUUCACUGUAGUAUGAGUGUUGUUGUUCUCCUUUUCUCUUUGGUGUUCUGUAGUGUAAAUGUUCUGUUUUUAAACCCGUGGUGUUCUGCAGUAUGAGUGUUAUUGCUUUCCUCAAGUCUUCGUGUUCUGUGAGUGUUCUUGUUUUCUUUAAGUCUUGGUUUUCGAUGUGUUAUUAUAUAUAUAUAUUUUUUUCGUUGCUAUCUUUUCAUUUAUCCAUUUCACGUACUACCUUCCUUUCGGCUCUAUAAUUUUCCACUUUCUUACUGUUUAUCGAUAUUUUCCCUUGCACUCAACUAAACAUUUCCUCAGUUAUCAGUCUCUUACAGUGUUUCAAAGUAAGCACGUUUGUUUGCAGCAGAAAGCCAUCAGUUAUUGUAUGAAUAUUUACUAUGUUUACUGAUACACA